rnacentral:rRNA from 1 species
UACGGGAGGCAGCAGUGGGGAAUAUUGCACAAUGGGCGCAAGCCUGAUGCAGCCAUGCCGCGUGUAUGAAGAAGGCCUUCGGGUUGUAAAGUACUUUCAGUCGUGAGGAAGGUGUUAAGGUUAAUAACCUUAGCAAUUGACGUUAGCGACAGAAGAAGCACCGGCUAACUCCGUGCCAGCAGCCGCGGUAAUACGGAGGGUGCGAGCGUUAAUCGGAAUUACUGGGCGUAAAGGGCACGCAGGCGGUUAAUUAAGUUGGAUGUGAAAUCCCCGGGCUUAACCUGGGAAUGGCAUUCAAGACUGGUUAGCUAGAGUCUUGUAGAGGGGGUAGAAUUCCGAUGUGUAGCGGUGAAAUGCGUAGAGAUGUGGAGGAAUACCGGUGGCGAAGGCGGCCCCUGGCAAAGGACUGACGCUCAUGUGCGAAAGCGUGGGGAGCAAACAGGGAUUAGAUACC